rnacentral:rRNA from 1 species
GCAUAUCAAUAAGCGGAGGAAAAGAAACCAACAGGGAUUGCCCCAGUAACGGCGAGUGAAGCGGCAACAGCUCAAAUUUGAAAUCUGGCCCCCCGGGGCCCGAGUUGUAAUUUGUAGAGGAUGCUUUUGGUGAGGCGCCGCCCGAGUGCCCUGGAACGGGACGCCACAGAGGGUGAGAGCCCCGUCUGGCUGGCCGCCGAGCCUCUGUAAAGCUCCUUCGACGAGUCGAGUAGUUUGGGAAUGCUGCUCAAAAUGGGAGGUAUAUGUCUUCUAAAGCUAAAUAUUGGCCAGAGACCGAUAGCGCACAAGUAGAGUGAUCGAAAGAUGAAAAGCACCUUGAAAAGAGGGUUAAAUAGUACGUGAAAUUGUUGAAAGGGAAGCGCUUGUGACCAGACUCGGGCGCGGCGGAUCAUCCGGGGUUCUCCCCGGUGCACUUCGCCGCGUCCGGGCCAGCAUCAGUUCGCCGCGGGGGAAAAAGGCUUCGGGAACGUGGCUCCCCCGGGAGUGUUAUAGCCCGUCGCACAAUACCCUGCGGUGGACUGAGGACCGCGCAUCACGCAAGGAUGCUGGCGUAAUGGUCACCAGCGACCCGUCUUGAAACACGGACCAAGGAGUCGUCUUCGUAUGCGAGUGUUCGGGUGCCAAACCCCUACGCGUAAUGAAAGUGAACGCAGGUGAGAGCUUCGGCGCAUCAUCGACCGAUCCUGAUGUUCUCGGAUGGAUUUGAGUAAGAGCAUACGGGGCCGGACCCGAAAGAAGGUGAACUAUGCCCGUAUAGGGUGAAGCCAGAGGAAACUCUGGUGGAGGCUCGCAGCGGUUCUGACGUGCAAAUCGAUCGUCAAAUAUGGGCAUGGGGGCGAAAGACUAAUCGAACCUUCUAGUAGCUGGUC